CGAAGUUGAUGGUGUCUACAUUGAAACUUGAACGUUGACUGAGCAUGUUUUUGACUGUUGUUUACUUGGUGCUUUCAAUUUUGUGAUGACGAUGGAAGCCUCUAUCGUCGCAAUCCUCUUACUGGCUACCAUUCACGGUUGUCAUAGUGGCCCUAACGAGAAGAGAUUGCUCACUAACCUGCUGGACAAGUACAAUACACUGGAGAGGCCGGUCUUCAAUGAGUCAGAGCCAGUCGUCGUCAGUUUCGGAUUAACUCUUAUGCAGAUUAUUGACGUGGAUGAAAAAAAUCAAAUUCUAACGACGAACGCCUGGCUUAACUUGGAUUGGAGGGAUCAAAAUCUUAUAUGGAACCCGGCGAAUUACAGCGGAGUGAAGGAUGUCCGCAUCCCGCCCAAUCGCAUCUGGAAGCCUGACAUACUUCUCUACAACAGCGCUGAUGAAGGUUUCGACAACACGUUCCAGACCAAUGUUGUUGUGCGGCACAACGGGAGCUGCAACUACAUCCCGCCGGGCAUCUUCAAGAGCACUUGUAAAAUCGAUAUCACUUGGUUUCCCUUCGACGAUCAACAGUGUAAAAUGAAAUUCGGCAGCUGGACUUACGAUGGUUUUAUGUUGGACCUCGUUGAAAAGACGACCGAUGGUGGCGAUAUUAGUGGCUUCAUCACGAACGGUGAAUGGGAUUUAAUCGGCGUACCUAGCAACCGCACAGUUGAAUACUACACUUGCUGCCCCGAGCCUUACGUAGACAUUACUUUCACCAUACACAUCAGGAGACGAACCCUUUACUAUUUUUUCAAUCUCAUCGUUCCUUCCGUGCUCAUUUCUUCCAUGGCGCUUCUUGGCUUCACCCUACCGCCAGACUCGGGAGAGAAGCUCACUCUUGGAGUUACCAUUUUGCUGUCUUUGACGGUAUUUCUCAACCUGGUCGCUGAAACGCUGCCUCAAGUUUCCGACGCCAUUCCGCUUCUAGGCACUUAUUUCAAUUGCAUCAUGUUUAUGGUGGCAUCUUCCGUUGUAUUGACCGUCGUCGUUCUCAACUAUCACCACAGACGGGCAGAAAUGCACGACAUGCCAGGAUGGGUUCGAACGUUGUUCUUGCUCUGGUUGCCCUGGAUUCUACGAAUGAGUCGGCCGGGCAAGAAAGUGACGCGUAAAACGAUCCUGAUGAACAGCCGUAUCAAAGAGAUGGAACUGAAGGAACGAUCGUCACGCAGCCUGUUGGCCAACGUCUUAGAUAUGGAUGACGAUUUCCGAAGUGCGUCAGGCAUUUCCUACGCGCCCACGUACACCAGUAAUCUGACGAACCGCUACGGCAGCAGCGGUGGCGUAGGAUCGGGAUUAGGAGGCGUAGGAGGAAAUGGCGGGAGAGGCGUCAUCAUCGGCGGCCCUGGUGGAGGAGGAGUUGGUCCAGGAAAUAGCUCAACGUUACCCCAUUUCCCGACUUCUGCCUCAUAUCACCAGCAGCAGCAUGCGCCCGUUGGCCAGCAGCAGUCGUCGGGACACCUUGCCGAAUCGUCGCUCGCUCACGGCAACAUGAUCUCAGCUAAUGCCCAGUCUUCCACUUUUGGAAGCCGGGCAGGAGGCUUCGCCAUUGACGAGGAUAGCCCGUCCACUCCUUAUUGCAUCCAGGCUCAACGGGACCUGCAGGCGAUUAUUCGCGAGUUGCGCUUCAUCACUUCCAAGUUGAAGAAGAAAGACGACGAAAAUGAUCUCAUCGCUGAAUGGAAGUUUGCCGCUAUGGUGGUUGAUCGUAUUUGCCUCUUCAUCUUCACCAUGUUCACCAUUAUCGCCACGCUGGCCGUGCUCUUCUCCGCACCGCACAUCAUCGUGCAGUAAAGCAAAAAGAGGGAACAUAAAGGAAGAUUUAGACAGACUCGAUCUCCCCUUGCCAUCAGAGUGUUUUUGCGUCAUUGGGAUGCGCACGGGAAACUUGUUGUGGAGCGUGGGAUCCCCGCCGUCUUCUCCUUUUAUAUAGUUUUUUUUUUUCGGCCGAUCCUGUGUCUCCAUUCCCUCCCGCACACACACACACACACACACACGCAAGUGUAUAAAAACAGUUUAUAUGUGUAGAGUAUACAGGGCUGUAUAUCGAUCUUCAUAUGUUGCCGUUGAGUCACGUGCGAUCCUGCUGCCGCCGCUACCGACUUGCUAAAGAAGAAAAAAAGUUUAUAGAGAAAGGAUUAAAAAAACAAACAAAACAAAAACGAAUAAGGAACUUUAACUUACUCCGUGACAACCGCCAACUCGACUGCCAGUAAAAGAGAAAAAAUUGCGUAACCAAAAAAAGAAACCAAAGAAAUGUAUAGGAGAAUGUGACGGACAUUAAAAGCGUGUUGUAAUAGUCCUGCAAGAAAUAAACCCAAGCGGCGGGAGAGUGAAGUAAAAGAAAGACGAAAGCCAAACCAGUGCGAUGGACGAGGGAGUUCGAUGUCGGACGAAGAGAUACACAUAAAAGAAAAGAAAUAGAAAUGAAGAAUGCGAAGCAGUUGAAGCCUGGACAGGGCAUAUCUCACAUUUCGUGAUGUAUUAUUUCGACGUACAAAGAGAAAAACGAAACGAUCCAUGAUCGUUAGAGCCUGGACGGACAGAUUGAGAAGAAAUAAAACAUGGCAAACCAUCGCUAACCAGCACAAUCAACAACAACAAAAACAACAACGAAAAUCAGCUCGUUCAAGGAUGUAUACUGUACAUAUAAAUACUAUCGUCUCUUCUUUUUGUUUUCUUGGCUCUUACAGCCCACACAUCUUUUUGUUUUCUUCCUUUUCUUCCAUGAAAAAGAGAGUCGUCAUAGAUAUAGACUUGUGUAGCGUAGUAUUUUAUACUCAAAAAGAGGCAGGCGGUAUUGUAAGUUACGCAAGUCACGUGCCCGAACGCUCAGCAUCUUUUUCUUCCGACUUCCCUUUCCUUUUUUUUUCACCCAGUACUUCCCAUCGUCUGAAGAAUAUAAACACAUACAGAAUUUGGGCGUGGCAUUAUGGAAUUUUCGGAUCCUUUUUGACAUGUAUGCCCCGGUCUUUCUCAUUUGUGGCUUUGCGUUCUUCCUCCCGUUUCUGUUUUUUUCAAAGCGACAUUAACUCAUUUGCUCCCUUGGAGCUCAAUUUGUCUGUGUUUGUGUCUAUGUCUGUGUGUGUGUGUGUGUGACGCUGUAUAUAUUAUUAUACUUCCCUUCAUCGUUUCCCUGUGUUCUUCGUCUCCAAGUGCUCAAUCAAUAUUUUUUUGCCUCUCUUUUUUCCCCACCCCCUCCUCGAUAAAUAUACGAUGCGACCCUCCUCAAUUGUCUCUUCUCUUGUCAUUUCUUGCUCGCUCACUCACUUCACAUUUCUUAUUGCUAUUUAUCUGCUUCUUCCCGGUGUCUUUUCAUCGUCUUGUCCACAUUUACUUUUUGUAAAGAUCGAAACUCUAUUUCUAUUUCUAUCUAUUGUGUCAUCCUAAUCUUCUACUGUCCUACACUGUCAUUUAAAAAAAUAAUAAUAGUACGGAGAUGAACGUGUCCGUUUCUACUGGAGAGCAUUCUUACGUUGGAAAUGGAUCUUAUAACUAUUAUAUAGAGUACACACAGAGACACACGAUGCGUCACGUCUCCAAGGCCAAGGCGAUCCAUCGUUUGUUUUUUUUUUUUUCCAAUUCCUAUCUAGCCCUUCUACCAUCAUACAACAUACUUAUGAAAAAGAAAAGAAAAACUUUGUGUUUCUUUUUUAAUAAUCCUCCCCAGGCCUGAGAUUGUGUGUCGUAUUAUGUGCGUGUCACCUCUACAGUCACCACACCCACGUACGCCCACCUGUCACAAUGUUGUAUUCUCAAUAUGAUCGAUACCAUACGUGUUAGACGUGUGCGUACCCACGGAACAUCAAAGUCUUUCUUUUUGGUCCCCCUCUUUCAUCUACUUUUUCUUCUUCAACCGUGUCGAUCUUUAAUCGUCAAUCCCCCAUACCGGGUUCAUCCAUCAUGAUUCAACUUUCUUUAAUCAAUAUAUUUCUAUUUUUUAUUCACUUAUUUCAACAACAACAAAAAGACACACACCAACAAGUAUAUUGCGAAACUGACAAUCAGUACAUGUCCUGAAUCCAAUUUUCUUCCUUCACUUUUUUUUGCCAUCCGAUCGAAGCCACCUACCCCAUACGCACACUGAAUAAUUUGCAUAUCCCUUUGGUCGAUUGAAAUUGAUGAAAUAGUUUUUUUUUUGUUUUUUUUUUGUUUUUGAGAAAUUAAAUAAAAACCAAGGAAAAUGUAUCGGUGAGAAUGGCGGGUCGUGUGGAAAUGACGGGUCAUUUACGUUUUGAUAAAAUAUCAAUUUUGUUUCGGGUAUAGUUUCAGAAGACUGUUAUUGAUCGGCAAUUGAUGAUUAAUGUACGUCGUUUAUGUCCGUUCCUGUUGACAAAAAAAAAAACGUUUUCGUUGUAUCAACUCUCCCUUCUUCGUAUGUACGAGUGUGUGAUUGUUUGCUAUAUCUUAGUAAAUUAGUUGAUCUUACACCAAAUGUCCCUCAUUCUGUACCUCCUCCCUUGUUCCUUCCAUUUUAUAAACGGUAUAUACUACCCUUAUUAUACCAUAUAUUAUUACACGAAAUUCGGUGAUGACAAACGGGAAGGGGGAAACGGGAAAUCAUGUUGUUCAUUUCCGUCUCAAAAUUUCCCAAGUCUCAAAAAAAUAAAUUGUCUCUCACGAAGAAAACAUUUCAGAAAGAUCACACACAA
rnacentral:misc_RNA from 1 species